UACGAAGGGGGCUAGCGUUGUUCGGAGUUACUGGGCGUAAAGGGCGCGUAGGCGGCCGCUCAAGUCUGGUGUGAAAUCCCUGGGCUUAACCCGGGAAUGGCACCAGGGACUGAACGGCUUGAGGACGGGAGAGGAUGGUGGAAUUCCCAGUGUAGAGGUGAAAUUCGUAGAUAUUGGGAAGAACACCGGUGGCGAAGGCGGCCAUCUGGUCCGUUUCUGACGCUGAGGCGCGAAAGCGUGGGGAGCAAAC
rnacentral:rRNA from 1 species